GUUGCGGCAUAGGGGCUAGAGGAACUGAAGAUGGGUUCAGAAUGCCUAUUUAGCCGUCAAAAAUCAUUGGUCAGCCUUAUCCAAGUCACUAGCCUCCAGCGUCUCUGCAAGGAUAAAACGGGAUGAUAACCAUGUAUGAACUAAUCUCUGAGCUCCAUGGGGGAAGGGAAGAGUCUGGAAGUAUUCCAGGCUAGCCCAGGAGCUCUUGCCGACUGAUUUUUGCUGAUUUGAAGGAAUUUGGCAAGUGAAAAGACAUUUUGGGUAAGGUUUUCCCAAGAUACUUCUUUCCGCUGCAGAGAAAAGAUUUCGGGUCGUUAAGAGAGUCAAAUACAAACAUGGCAGGGGAGACACCUUGAUCAUGGAGGUGGUUUUCUCAAUGUGAGGCUCAUCCAUUGCACUGUGGGGGUGCUGUCCCCUGUGAUUUCCCCAAAUGUGGGAAAAGUGGACUGCAUCAUUUGUGACAGUGGGGGGCUGUAUUCGUGCUGUUUAAGAGAGAGAGAGAGAGUGUGUCAAGAUGGUAUUAGGAUCGCUCUGUAAACUCAGAUAAAGUGUCUAUUUUUUCCAGAGACUAUUUCUGUUAUGUACUGAGUUGAAUAGGAGCCGAAAUGCAGCAGUCUGAUUGGUCCUAGAACAAUAGGAUCCAAAAUGCAGCAGUCUGAUUGGUCCUAGAACAAUAGGAUUCUGAAUGCAGCAGUCGGAUUGGUCCUAGAACAAUAGGAUCCAAAAUACAGCAGUCUGAUUGGUCCUAGAACAAUAGGAUCCAAACUGCAGCAGUCUGAUUGGUCCUAGAACAAUAGGAUCCAGAAUGCAGCAGUCUGAUUGGUCCUAGAACAAUAGGAUCCAGAAUGCAGCAGUCUGAUUGGUCCUAGAACAAUAGGAUCCAGAAUGCAGCAGUCUGAUUGAUCCACAGGAGCCACCCAAUCCAGCUCCAGGUGGAAGUGAAUCCACAACCUGAUUGGCCUACAGGAGAAUUCCAGAAUUAGCCAAUCACGUGCAGCCCAUUGUGUAAAUAAUGUAUAUAAAGCAGAUACUUUGGGGAAACAUUCAUUCCUCCUCACCACCAUGAGCUGAAUAAAGAGCAUGAAAUCCACUCUCAACUCUGAGUAUAUUUCAGUUUCCUAAUUUUGAAGGGCAAAGGAUUGGUUUGCUGUGGAGCGUGUGCCUGCCUGUAUGCCCCUUAAAAUUCAUGUAACACACUUCCAGGCCUACCUUGAGGGCAAGAUCCCCCCCCGUUCGGUGGCAACGAGGCCACACAAUUGCGGGGUGCACACAGCCUUAUUUUUAUGGCGACGUUUCCUUUUUCAGCGCUGGAAAGGUUAUUUCAGGCAGGCCUGGAAACCGUGUCGUUUGCCGCUGAGGUUGCUUUCUAUUUUCUCUUAAGCGUGGUGACACCAGUCUCUUAAGUGGAACGAGAAGACAGGCGAAAUGAAGGAGAAGCCAGCUGGGGAGAUGAAGGGCCAAAGAUGAUUCUCGGGAGAGUUGUGGAUGAAUGUUUCCCUCUCUGUCGGGUUUUCCUGUGAAGGCCGUCGCCCUGGGGGAUCCGCAUGCCUGACACCUCGUUGCUCGUUUCUCCUUCGAGAUGUUCACGGACCCCUCCUGAGAGAGGGAGAACAGGAG
rnacentral:lncRNA from 1 species